rnacentral:rRNA from 1 species
ACGGGAGACACACGGCGGGUGCUAACGUCCGUCGUGAAGAGGGAAACAACCCAGACCGCCAGCUAAGGUCCCAAAGUCAUGGUUAAGUGGGAAACGAUGUGGGAAGGCCCAGACAGCCAGGAUGUUGGCUUAGAAGCAGCCAUCAUUUAAAGAAAGCGUAAUAGCUCACUGGUCGAGUCGGCCUGCGCGGAAGAUGUAACGGGGCUAAACCAUGCACCGAAGCUGCGGCAGCGACGCUGAUGCGUUGUUGGGUAGGGGAGCGUUCUGUAAGCCUGCGAAGGUGUGCUGUGAGGCAUGCUGGAGGUAUCAGAAGUGCGAAUGCUGACAUAAGUAACGAUAAAGCGGGUGAAAAGCCCGCUCGCCGGAAGACCAAGGGUUCCUGUCCAACGUUAAUCGGGGCAGGGUGAGUCGACCCCUAAGGCGAGGCCGAAAGGCGUAGUCGAUGGGAAACAGGUUAAUAUUCCUGUACUUGGUGUUACUGCGAAGGGGGGACGGAGAAGGCUAUGUUGGCCGGGCGACGGUUGUCCCGGUUUAAGCGUGUAGGCUGGUUUUCCAGGCAAAUCCGGAAAAUCAAGGCUGAGGCGUGAUGACGAGGCACUACGGUGCUGAAGCAACAAAUGCCCUGCUUCCAGGAAAAGCCUCUAAGCAUCAGGUAACAUCAAAUCGUACCCCAAACCGACACAGGUGGUCAGGUAGAGAAUACCAAGGCGCUUGAGAGAACUCGGGUGAAGGAACUAGGCAAAAUGGUGCCGUAACUUCGGGAGAAGGCACGCUGAUAUGUAGGUGAAGUCCCUCGCGGAUGGAGCUGAAAUCAGUCGAAGAUACCAGCUGGCUGCAACUGUUUAUUAAAAACACAGCACUGUGCAAACACGAAAGUGGACGUAUACGGUGUGACGCCUGCCCGGUGC